rnacentral:sRNA from 1 species
AGAGUUCGCUUGUCGUGUGGGUAAGAACCUGUGUUCAGGUUCGACAAAACACGUUAGUGUUUUGAGCGUCGCUUGCGACGACCCGAAGGGCGAGGCGCAGCCGAGUCAUCCCGCACGACCCACCA